rnacentral:rRNA from 1 species
CCUACGGGGGGCAGCAGUGGGGAAUAUUGCGCAAUGGGGGAAACCCUGACGCAGCAACGCCGCGUGAUUGAAGAAGGCCUUCGGGUUGUAAAGAUCUUUAAUUCGGGACGAAAAAAAUGACGGUACCGAAAGAAUAAGCUCCGGCUAACUACGUGCCAGCAGCCGCGGUAAUACGUAGGGAGCAAGCGUUAUCCGGAUUUACUGGGUGUAAAGGGCGCGCAGGCGGGCUUGCAAGUUGGGAGUGAAAUCCCGGGGCUCAACCCCGGAACUGCUUUCAAAACUGUGAGUCUUGAGUGAUGGAGAGGCAGGCGGAAUUCCCAGUGUAGCGGUGAAAUGCGUAGAUAUUGGGAGGAACACCAGUGGCGAAGGCGGCCUGCUGGACAUUAACUGACGCUGAGGCGCGAAAGCGUGGGGAGCAAACAGGAUUAGAUACCCUGGUAGUC